rnacentral:rRNA from 1 species
CCUUGCCAGCCCGCUCAGAAACUCAAAUGAAUUGACGGGGGCCCGCACAAGCGGAGGAGCAUGUGGUUUAAUUCGAUGAUACGCGAGGAACCUUACCUGGGCUCGAACGUAAGAUGACUGUAGGUGAAAGCUUACAUCUCUUCGGAGCAUUUUACGAGGUGCUGCAUGGUUGUCGUCAGCUCGUGCCGUGAGGUGUCGGGUUAAGUCCCAUAACGAGCGCAACCCCUACCUUUAGUUGCCAUCAGGUAAUGCUGGGGACUCUAAAGGAACUGCCUACGCAAGUAGUGAGGAAGGCGGGGAUGACGUCAAAUCAGCACGGCCCUUACGUCCAGGGCUACACACGUGCUACAAUGGCCGGCAUAGCGGGAAGCGAGGGGGCGACCUUGAGCGGAUCCCUCAAAGCCGGUCUCAGUUCGGAUUGCAGUCUGCAACUCGACUGCAUGAAGUUGGAAUCGCUAGUAAUCGUGGAUCAGCCAAGCCGCGGUGAAUACGUUCCCGGGCCUU